UAGCACAAGAUGACAUUAUAAUAUGAGUGGUUCUUUUUUUUUUUUUUUUUUUGAAACAAUUUUAAGGGGUAAUAUGAGUGGUUCUAUAUUUAUACUUGUGUGUAGAAAACAAAAGCAUCACAGCUUUUUGUAAGGGUUUUUAAAAAGUCAAAUUAAUAGGACAGUUUCGAACUUUACUGUAUUUUUGACUUUUCACUUAUUUUCUUUGGUUGUCUGAAAAAGACGCACUUCAGUGCGAAAGCCAAGGCUCAAGGUGUACCGUUGUCCGUUGAGCGUGUGUGUUUGUUGUCUUUUUUGUUGAGUUGUGAAUUUUAACUAUAUGUGCUGUGUAUUUUGGGUUUUAGUUAAGUUUGGGAGGGGGGUGUCGAGUCAAGAACGAACCGCGCGGGUGGCGAAGUCCAACUCCUUUGUCACCGUGGUUGGGACCAUGUUAGGUUUGGUCUGAUCACGGUGGAGGAGUUGGUGGUUCGGGUAUUGACUGGGGUUGGAAACCCCCUUUGUUAUCCUUUUGGGUGUCAUUAUUAUUAUUAUAUAAAAAAUUGUAGUAAAACUCAUGUAUCGAGAGUGAGCCACACGCACCGUCAGAUGCUGUGGUUUGCUAACGCGGGCUGGGAUAUUAUGAGCAGUAUGUGGUUGGACUUUGGAUGGAUCUGGUCCGUUUAUGUGUCCCUCGUGGUGUGCAUUAAGAAAGUGCAUUAAAUGUGUUUGCAGGCUAAUAUUAAUUCAUUUAAUGCUAUUUUUUCUCUUCUGCCCGUGCGUGGCUCCUUGCUUUUUUU
rnacentral:lncRNA from 1 species